GGUUAAUGAGCUUGAAUAAGCGUAUGUUUUGAAAGCAUAAGAUAGGACUCAACCCUCCUAUUAACCU
rnacentral:tRNA from 1 species